rnacentral:rRNA from 1 species
UAUCAAUAAGCGGUGGAAAAGAAACUAACCAGGAUUCCCCUAGUAACGGCGAGUGAACAGGGAUUAGCCCAGCACCGAAGUCUGCGUCCCUUUGGGCGUUAGACAAUGUGGUGUUUAGGUUGGUGUUUUCGAAUGUUGCUCUGUUUAAAGUCCAUUCUUGAAUAUGGCUAAUAGUUUGGCCCAGAGAGGGUGAAAGGCCCGUGUGGACAGAGCGAUGUUUGACUGUGCUAACCAUGGAGUCGGGUUGUUUGAGAAUGCAGCCCAAAGUUGGUGGUAAACUCCAUCUAAGGCUAAAUACUGGCACGAGUCCGAUAGCGAACAAGUACCGUGAGGGAAAGUUGAAAAGUACUCUGAAGAGAGAGUUAACAGUGCGUGAAACCGCUUAGAAGCAAACGGGUGUAGUCAAGCUGCAAGCCUUAAGAAAUAGGUUGGUCAGAAUGGCGUGAGUCUGAGCAUACAGAGCUGCCAGGCAGGUCCGACUAUAUGUCGGGUUCGGCUCGCAAGAGUCGGAUUUGUGGAGCGUUUACGCGCUGCAUGCCUGCUUGUCAGUUGCUCUACUGGCCCUCUCAAUUUCUUUUGGCGUAUGUCACGACCGUCUUCGCUGUCGGUCUGCUCCAUUUAAACCGUUUCGUGAGUAGUUUCGUGCUGCUUGCGUUCUGGGGGCAGGUAGCUGAUCUAGUCUCGGCUGGAUUGGUGUAAUUGCUGAGUGGAGUGGUACCUGUAACUGUGCAGUAAGAUGGGGCUGGCGGUGCAUUGUUGCCGGGCGUGCGUGUGUUGUCGUGGUUGGCGUAUGGCUAUCUGUUGCUGUUAAUAACGGCCUGGUGGUUGCCCGACUGCGGUGUCAUUCGUUACGUUUGGUCAAUCUUUGCGUUGUGCCUAUAGUCUGUGGCGUAGUGGUAGACGAUCCACCCGA